UCCGAUUUGUCACCGGCAGUCUCCCAUGAGUCCCCGACAUUACUCGCUGGCAACAUGGGACAGGGGUUGCGCUCGUUGCGGCACUUAAGCCAACACCUCACGGCACGAGCUGACGACAGCCAUGCACCACCUGUGCUAGCCCCUUGCGGACACGGGCUUUCACCCGCUUUAACUAGCAUGUCAAACCCAGGUAAGGUUCUUCGGGUCGCAUCGAAUUAAGCCGCAUGCUCCGCCGCUUGUGCGGGCCCCCGUCAAUUCCUUUGAGUUUCAGCCUUGCGGCCGUACUCCCCAGGCGGGGCACUUACUGCGUUAGCGACGGCACCGGGAGGGUCGCUCCCCCCGACGCCUAGUGCCCAUCGUUUACGGCGUGGACUAC
rnacentral:misc_RNA from 1 species